rnacentral:rRNA from 1 species
GAUGAACGCUGGCGGCGUGCUUAACACAUGCAAGUCGAACGGAAAGGCUCCUGCUUGCAGGGGUACUCGAGUGGCGAACGGGUGAGUAACACGUGGGUGAUCUGCCCUGCACUUCGGGAUAAGCCUGGGAAACUGGGUCUAAUACCGGCUAGGACGAGGGUUUGGAUGCCAUUGUGGAAAGUUUUUUCGGUGUGGGAUGGGCGCGCGGCCUAUCAGCUUGUUGGUGGGGUAAUGGCAUACGAAGGCGUCGACGGGUAGCCGGCCUGAGAGGGUGUACGGCGACAUUGGGCCUGAGAUAGGGACCAGAGUCGUACGUGAGGCAGCGGGGGGGAAUAUUGUCCAACGGGGGCGAGCGUGAUGCAGCGACGUCGCGUGGGGGAUGAAGGCUUUCGGGGGGGAAAGUCCAGUCACUAGGGACGAAGCGCAAGUGACGGUACCUGGAGAAGAAGCACCGGCUAACUACGUG